rnacentral:sRNA from 1 species
GGAAUUUCACAUGGAACCUUUACUAAGGAAUCGUUCCUCCUUUGGUGCUCUUUUCAAGCUUGUAAAUGGUAUCAGCUCUGCAGAAGAUAAGCCGUGUGUGGAUGUGCCAUAUGCUAACUUUUGGUUUUCCAUCCAGUGACGGAAGGAUACUUUAGUUUUCCUUAUCACUUGCUGGUGAAGACUGUAUUUUUAAAUGGAUACUAUACAAACUAAGUCAUCACAGAAAAAGAAAGAGGCGAUACCAAGAAAGGCUUCAACAGAGCCCUUCUCUCUGCCCACAGGCAAAAGACUCCGUAAGACUAUGUGAUUUGGAUACAUCCAAGGGAUAUUCUCGUUGAAAGGUCAGCUGUGCUAUUCGAGGGUAUCAGAGAAAAGGAUAAUUCUAUGAGAAUACUUAAUGAAGUAUACAGACUAAAGGCAAUCAGAAUUUCUCAAGAUGAAAAGCUUCAUGUAGGUAUGAUGAUCAUGGACUGUUUCUUGGACACUUUAUUGAGUGCCUGCUAUGAAGUAGAUGUUGUUCUGGAAAUAUGAUGCAGCGGUGAAUAGAAAAAUUGCCUCUGGGUCACCAGGAAAUGGAAGGGGAAAGAGGGUUGGAAAGGACAAAUAUGAACACAAUGUAUUCUUCUCUUUCUUCUUUUUGAG